rnacentral:tRNA from 1 species
GGGGUUGUGGCUCAGUGAUAGAGUGCUUGCCUAGUACGUAUGAGGCACUGGGUUCAAUCCUCAGCACCACA